AGGAAUCUAAGGUUGGAAUUAAACAUUCCUUUGUUUGGUAGGUGGGAACCACACAAAUAUGUCCAGGAAUGCAAUUUUCCCAGGAAAGCCAUCUACCCACGUUUUCCCCCAUUUCUUCCCCACGUUCACCCUUUGUUCCAUCCCUUUUAUUCCCAUGAGAUAGCUUGGGAAAGUUUUAUUCCCAGGAAAUGGAAACCCAUGAUCUUGAAUAAAAUACCAUAUUUUCCCUUGCCAUUCCCGCUAAAUUUUUCUCUGUUAUUCCCGCUAAUUUUUUCACCCAUGAUCUUUGUAGUGUUCAUCAACUGCUUGUUGUUUGAGUUUUGGAUUUCACUCUUCUCUUCAAGGUACCAUCUAAUUUCAUUUUAAUUCUUCCAUUACUCAACAUAGAUUUGGUGAUUUAUAUCAUUUCUCUGUUUUUUUGUCUUCUGAUGUUGCUUAUUGCUUUGUUACUUAAUGAAUUUGUCAUUUCUCUGCUUGCUUAUUGCUUUUGAUGUCGCAUCAUUUAUCUGUUUGCUUUUUGUUCUUUUUUUGUGAGAAUUUUAACCCAACUUUGAUACUUAAUGAAUUAGUCAUGUACAGAUUCAAUUGUUUUAAAUUGUAGAUUUAAUACUCAAAUAAAUUGCUAGUACGGGAAAAUUAUGUAUCGGAAUUUUAAACUGUAGAUUUUAAAGUGUAUGAACUAUGAAUUAUAUAUCAGAAUUUAACUCCUCUAAAAUAAGUGAAAAAAGAAAAUAGUUAUUAUAUAUGUAUGUGGAGUAUCAAAGUGCUCAUAAUCUCAAUCAUUAAAUACAUUGUGUACUUGGAACCGUGUAGCCAUAGGAUACAACAACUGAGCUCCUAGUUGUAUUGUUAAAGCUUAGCAACUUGAUAGUGAAAAUCUGCAAGAUGUGGUACAUAAUCUAAGUCAAGUAGUAUGAUGUUCAAUGUUAUAUCUCUGUGCACAAUUUG
rnacentral:lncRNA from 1 species